rnacentral:rRNA from 1 species
UGGAGGAAAGCAGGGGAUCGUAAGACCUUGCGCUUUUGGAGCGGCCGAUGUCUGAUUAGCUAGUUGGUGGGGUAAUGGCCUACCAAAGCUUCGAUCAGUAGCUGGUCUGAGAGGACGGCCAGCCACACUGGGACUGAGACACGGCCCAGACUCCUACGGGAGGCAGCAGUGGGGAAUUUUGGACAAUGGGCGCAAGCCUGAUCCAGCCAUGCCGCGUGAGUGAAGAAGGCCUUCGGGUUGUAAAGCUCUUUCAGCCGGGAAGAAAAGGCUGCGACUAAUAAUCGCAGUUCAUGACGGUACCCGAAGAAGAAGCACCGGCUAACUACGUGCCAGCAGCCGCGGUAAUACGUAGGGUGCGAGCGUUAAUCGGAAUUACUGGGCGUAAAGGGUGCGCAGGCGGUUUUGUAAGUCAGAUGUGA